rnacentral:rRNA from 1 species
AUAAACGCUAGCGGCAGGCCUAACACAUGCAAGUCGAGGGGCAGCGGAAGAAGUAGCUUGCUACUUCUGCCGGCGACCGGCGCACGGGUGCGUAACGCGUAUGCAACCUACCUUUAACAGGGGGAUAAUCCGAAGAAAUUUGGUCUAAUACCCCAUAAUAUUUCAGAAGGCAUCUUUUGAGGUUGAAAACUCCGGUGGUUAAAGAUGGGCAUGCGUUGUAUUAGCUAGAUGGUGAGGUAACGGCUCACCAUUGCGAUGAUACAUAGGGGGACUGAGAGGUUUUCCCCCCACACUGGUACUGAGACACGGACCAGACUCCUACGGGAGGCAGCAGUGAGGAAUAUUGGUCAAUGGACGCAAGUCUGAACCAGCCAUGCCGCGUGCAGGAUGAAGGUGCUAUGCAUUGUAAACUGCUUUUGUACGAGGGUAAAUUCAGAUACGUGUAUCUGUUUGAAAGUAUCGUACGAAUAAGGAUCGGCUAACUCCGUGCCAGCAGCCGCGGUAAUACGGAGGAUCCGAGCGUUAUCCGGAUUUAUUGGGUUUAAAGGGUGCGUAGGCGGUUUGAUAAGUUAGAGGUGAAAGCUCGAUGCUCAACAUCGAAAUUGCCUCUGAUACUGUCAGACUAGAGUGUAGUUGCGGAAGGCGGAAUGUGUGGUGUAGCGGUGAAAUGCUUAGAUAUCACACAGAACACCGAUUGCGAAGGCAGCUUUCCAAGCUAUUACUGACGCUGAGGCACGAAAGCGUGGGUAGCGAACAGGAUUAGAUACCCUGGUAGUCCACGCCGUAAACGAUGAUAACUCGUUGCCGGCGAUAUAGUGUCGGUGACUAAGCGAAAGCGAUAAGUUAUCCACCUGGGGAGUACGUUCGCAAGAAUGAAACUCAAAGGAAUUGACGGGGGCCCGCACAAGCAGUGGAGUAUGUGGUUUAAUUCGAAGCAACGCGAAGAACCUUACCAAGUCUUGACAUCCGCCUGACUGAUCCUUAACCGGAUCUUUCCUUCGGGACAGGCGAGACAGGUGGUGCAUGGUUGUCGUCAGCUCGUGUCGUGAGAUGUUGGGUUAAGUCCCGCAACGAGCGCAACCCCUAUUUCCAGUAGCCAGCAGUAAGAUGGGCACUCUGGAGAGACUGCCGGGGAUAACCCGGAGGAAGGUGGGGAUGACGUCAAAUCAGCACGGCCCUUACGUCCGGGGCGACACACGUGUUACAAUGGUCGGUACAGAGGGUAGCUACCUGGUGACAGGAUGCCAAUCUCGAAAGCCGAUCUCAGUUCGGAUUGGAGGCUGAAACUCGCCUCCAUGAAGUUGGAUUCGCUAGUAAUCGCGCAUCAGCCAUGGCGCGGUGAAUACGUUCCCGGGCCUUGUACACACCGCCCGUCAAGCCAUGGGAGUUGGGGGUGCCUGAAGUACGUGACCGCAAGGAGCGUCCUAGGGCAAAACCGAUGACUGGGGCU